GUGUUUAAAUUUUAAAAUAUUAAAGUUGGUGUGUUUGGAUUUUGGUGAUUAAAUUUGAGAAUAGUGUUUGGGAUAAAUGUGGUUUAGGGUUUAUGGUUAAAGUUUGGAAAUAGAUAUAUAGUUUGAGAUUAAGUUUUAAACAAAUAUUUAGUUUUAUAAGUUUGUAUUUAAGAUUCAGAGUUUAAGUUUUCAAACAUUAUAAAGUUUACUGUAUAGAGUUUAAAUCGUGACUAGUUUUGAAAUUUUCAUUUUGAGUUGAAAAAAAUGAAUUUGCAAGGAAAAUGCAAUGGAUUCCUUACAAUUCUCUCGCCAAUUUGCGAUUUACAAGGGAAUUCCGA
rnacentral:lncRNA from 1 species